rnacentral:rRNA from 1 species
CCUACGGGCGGCAGCAGUGAGGAAUAUUGGUCAAUGGACGAGAGUCUGAACCAGCCAAGUAGCGUGAAGGAUGACUGCCCUAUGGGUUGUAAACUUCUUUUAUAUGGGAAUAAAACGUUCCACGUGUGGGAUUUUGUAUGUACCAUAUGAAUAAGGAUCGGCUAACUCCGUGCCAGCAGCCGCGGUAAUACGGAGGAUCCGAGCGUUAUCCGGAUUUAUUGGGUUUAAAGGGAGCGUAGGUGGAUUGUUAAGUCAGUUGUGAAAGUUUGCGGCGCAACCGUAAAAUUGCAGUUGAAACUGGCAGUCUUGAGUACAGUAGAGGUGGGCGGAAUUCGUGGUGUAGCGGUGAAAUGCUUAGAUAUCACGAAGAACUCCGAUUGCGAAGGCAGUUCACUGGACUGCAACUGACACUGAGGCUCGAAAGUGUGGGUAUCAAACAGGAUUAGAUACCCCUGUAGUC